CAGCAGCCGCGGUAAUACGUAGGUGGCAAGCGUUGUCCGGAAUUAUUGGGCGUAAAGGGCUCGCAGGCGGUUUCUUAAGUCUGAUGUGAAAGCCCCCGGCUCAACCGGGGAGGGUCAUUGGAAACUGGGAAACUUGAGUGCAGAAGAGGAGAGUGGAAUUCCACGUGUAGCGGUGAAAUGCGUAGAGAUGUGGAGGAACACCAGUUGCGAAGGCGACUCUCUGGUCUGUAACUGACGCUGAGGAGCGGAAGCGUGGGGAGCGAACAGGAUUAGAUACCCCGGUAGUCCCUGUCUCUUAUAC
rnacentral:rRNA from 1 species